rnacentral:miRNA from 1 species
GAAAUGCCUUCAUGAGAUCCAGCUGUAAGGUAUUUUCUCAAUUAGUGAUCAAUGAGAGAAGGCCCAGCCCCUUGUGGGUGGCAUCAUCCCUGGGCUGGUGGUUCCUG